GAUCCUGGCUCAGGAUGAACGCUGGCGGCGUGCCUAANACAUGCAAGUCGAACGAAGCACUGUCGAAUGAGGAUUCGUCUGAAUUUGGCUUUGAACUUAGUGGCGGACGGGUGAGUAACGCGUGAGCAACCUGCCCUUCAGUGGGGGACAACAGUUGGAAACGACUGCUAAUACCGCAUGAUGUAUUUCUCAGACAUCUUAGAAAUACCAAAGGAUUUAUUCGCUGAAGGAUGGGCUCGCGUCCGAUUAGAUAGUUGGUGGGGUAACGGCUCACCAAGUCGACGAUCGGUAGCCGGACUGAGAGGUUGAACGGCCACAUUGGGACUGAGACACGGCCCAGACUCCUACGGGAGGCAGCAGUGGGGGAUAUUGCACAAUGGAGGAAACUCUGAUGCAGCAACGCCGCGUGAGGGAAGAAGGUCUUCGGAUUGUAAACCUUUGUCUUUGGUGACGAAACAAAUGACGGUAGCCAAGGAGGAAGCUCCGGCUAACUACGUG
rnacentral:rRNA from 1 species